AUACGUAGGGUGCGAGCGUUAAUCGGAAUUACUGGGCGUAAAGCGUGCGCAGGCGGUUUUGUAAGACAGUGGUGAAAUCCCCGGGCUCAACCUGGGAACUGCCAUUGUGACUGCAAGGCUGGAGUGCGGCAGAGGGGGAUGGAAUUCCGCGUGUAGCAGUGAAAUGCGUAGAUAUGCGGAGGAACACCGAUGGCGAAGGCAAUCCCCUGGGCCUGCACUGACGCUCAUGCACGAAAGCGUGGGGAGCAAACAGGAUUAGAUACCCUGGUAGUCCACGCCCUAAACGAUGUCAACUGGUUGUUGGGUCUUCAUUGACUCAGUAACGAAGCUAACGCGUGUAGUUGACCGCCUGGGGAGAACGGCCGCAAGGUUGAAACUCAAAUGAAUUGACGGGG
rnacentral:rRNA from 1 species